rnacentral:rRNA from 1 species
GUAGGGAAUAUUGCACAAUGGGGGAAACCCUGAUGCAGCGACGCCGCGUGAGUGAUGAAGGCCUUCGGGUCGUAAAGCUCUGUCGUAUGGGACUAACAAAAUGAAGGUACCAUGCAAGAAAGGAUCGGCUAACUUCGUGCCAGCAGCCGCGGUAAGACGAGGGAUCCUAGCGUUGUUCGGAAUUAUUGGGCGUAAAGCGGGUGUAGGCGGGCCUGUCAGUCAGGUGUGAAAUCCCAGGGCUUAACCCUGGAAGUGCACUUGAUACUGCAGGUCUUGAGUGUGGUAGAGGCUAUUAGAAUUCUUGGUGUAGUGGUGAAAUACGUAGAUAUCAAGAGGAAUACCUGAGGCGAAGGCGGAUAGCUGGGCCAACACUGACGCUGAGACCCGAAAGCGUGGGGAUCAAACAGGAUUAGAAACCCUGGUAGUCC